UGCUAACACAUUCCUGGCCAGAAUAACAUUUCGUACUCUAAAGGCCACUUCACACUGGUCAGACAGACUCCAACAGACGCAUUGUCUCCUCUUUGCAGGCCAUCCAUCAAUGAUCAUCUAUCUGAGCUGCUGAAAACUGCCUCGGUACGGAUCUGUUGCAGCUUUGUGUCACUGACUGUAUUUCUGCAAAUUCCUGUUCCGUGUCACAUGGCUUAUGCAAGACUGAAUCCAUGAAGAUGUUGUAACCAUAAAGCAACCAGGACAACACACCUGGAGUGACCGAGAGCAGGAUGAAGAGAAUCGGAUGAGAAAAUAUCAACUGGUGCCCAUGAGGAGACAUUGUUCUUGGACCUGCUUUUUCUGUUUAGUAAUAAGUGGUUUUAUGUGGUUAAAUAAAAGUAAUUUAAUAUUCAA